AACAACUUCCUUCCCUUCAUUUCAAAAUAAAGAAAGAAAAAAAACAUUACCCUUCCAUUCACAUGGUGAAAUCUUCUUCUAAUAUUUUGUUGGUGGCUAAGUUUUCUCUCUUUUUUCUUUAGACAUCACCAUAUUUCUUUUUAUAUUGGUGCAGAAACUAAAUAUGUUACCACCACUCUUUUUAUAAAGUAUACUUUUUGAUAAUUCUAAACAAUAUACUUAUAUACUAAACACAACAAUUCAUCAAAUCCAUGUAAACGCAUAUACUAUUUCAUCUAUGUGUUGUAGGCUGGUGCUUUAGGGUCCUACCUUCGUUACCACCCAUCUUGGUUCUGUGUGAACGAAGACGAAACUCUUUGGCACGUGGGAAAAAGCUUCGGUGCACGUGUCUCGUAUGAGUUUGUUCUUUUCUUAACCACACACACACAACACCGUU